rnacentral:rRNA from 1 species
CAACGUGCCAGGCAGCGCGACUAUACAUGCAGUCGAACGCGUUGGCCCAAUUGAUUGAUGGUGCUUGCACCUGAUUGAUUUUGGUCGCCAACGAGUGGCGGACGGGUGAGUAACACGUAGGUAACCUGCCCAGAAGCGGGGGACAACAUUUGGAAACAGAUGCUAAUACCGCAUAACAACGUUGUUCGCAUGAACAACGCUUAAAAGAUGGCUUCUCGCUAUCACUUCUGGAUGGACCUGCGGUGCAUUAGCUUGUUGGUGGGGUAAUGGCCUACCAAGGCGAUGAUGCAUAGCCGAGUUGAGAGACUGAUCGGCCACAAUGGGACUGAGACACGGCCCAUACUCCUACGGGAGGCAGCAGUAGGGAAUCUUCCACAAUGGGCGCAAGCCUGAUGGAGCAACACCGCGUGAGUGAAGAAGGGUUUCGGCUCGUAAAGCUCUGUUGUUAAAGAAGAACACGUAUGAGAGUAACUGUUCAUACGUUGACGGUAUUUAACCAGAAAGUCACGGCUAACUACGUGCCAGCAGCCGCGGUAAUACGUAGGUGGCAAGCGUUAUCCGGAUUUAUUGGGCGUAAAGAGAGUGCAGGCGGUUUUCUAAGUCUGAUGUGAAAGCCUUCGGCUUAACCGGAGAAGUGCAUCGGAAACUGGAUAACUUGAGUGCAGAAGAGGGUAGUGGAACUCCAUGUGUAGCGGUGGAAUGCGUAGAUAUAUGGAAGAACACCAGUGGCGAAGGCGGCUACCUGGUCUGCAACUGACGCUGAGACUCGAAAGCAUGGGUAGCGAACAGGAUUAGAUACCCUGGUAGUCCAUGCCGUAAACGAUGAGUGCUAGGUGUUGGAGGGUUUCCGCCCUUCAGUGCCGGAGCUAACGCAUUAAGCACUCCGCCUGGGGAGUACGACCGCAAGGGUUGAAACUCAAGGAAUUGACGGGGGCCCGCACAAGCGGUGGAGCAUGUGGUUUAAUUCGAAGCUACGCGAAGAACCCUUACCAGGUCUUGACAUCUUGCGCCAACCCUAGAGAUAGGGCGUUCCUUUCGGACGCAAUGACAGGUGGUGCAUGUCGUCGUCAGCUCGUGUCGUGAGAUGUGGAUAGUCCCGCACGAGCGCAACCUUGUUACUAGUUGCAC